UCCCCUGGUAGUCCAGUGGUUAAGACUCCGUGCUCACAAUGCAGGGGGCCCAGGUUCGAUCCCUGGUCAGGGAA